GACGAACGCUGGCGGCGUGCUUAACACAUGCAAGUCGAACGGAAAGGCCCUGCUUUUGUGGGGUGCUCGAGUGGCGAACGGGUGAGUAACACGUGAGUAACCUGCCCUUGACUUUGGGAUAACUUCAGGAAACUGGGGCUAAUACCGGAUAGGAGCUCCUGCUGCAUGGUGGGGGUUGGAAAGUUUCGGCGGUUGGGGAUGGACUCGCGGCUUAUCAGCUUGUUGGUGGGGUAGUGGCUUACCAAGGCUUUGACGGGUAGCCGGCCUGAGAGGGUGACCGGCCACAUUGGGACUGAGAUACGGCCCAGACUCAUACGGGAGGCAGCAGUGGGGAAUAUUGCACAAUGGGCGGAAGCAUGAUGCAGCAACGCCGCGUGCGGGAUGACGGCCUUCGGGUUGUAAACCGCUUUCGCCUGUGACGAAGCGUGAGUGACGGUAAUGGGUAAAGAAGCACCGGCUAACUACGU
rnacentral:rRNA from 1 species